CAGUAGCCGCGUAAUACCAGCAGCCCAAGUGGUGGUCGCGAUUAUUGGGCCUAAAGCGCUCGUAGCCGGGCCGGUAAGUCCCUUGUGAAAUCGGACGGCCUAACCGUUCGGCGUGCAAGGGAUACUGUCGGUCUUGAGGCCGGGAGACGUCCGAGGUACUCCGGGGGUAGCGGUGAAAUGUUCUGAUCCUCGGGGGACCACCGGUGGCGAAGGCGUUCGACGAGAACGGGCCUGACGGUGAGGGGCGAAGGCUAGGGGAGCAAACGGGAUUAGAUACCCCCGUAGUCCCUGUCUCUUAUAC
rnacentral:rRNA from 1 species